rnacentral:lncRNA from 1 species
AAAAGAUUAAAGGUUUAGUAGCUCCUUGUGUCCCAAAAAUCUUAGUGCAUGCAGUUUUGAGCUAUUCAAGUUUUAAGCUUUAGUAGCUUAAAAUUUCAAUAAGACUUUUGGGACAACCUGUGUGGUGUAUAGUGCCACAGCCUGAUGCUAAUCACAUGCCUCGCGAUCCACUCAGUUCCAGAAUUUGGCUUUUGCUCUUUCCAUUAAGCCAAAUCCAAGGACACAGUGCUUUGCACAUAGUAAAGGCUUAAUAAAUCUUCUUGCAUUCAUUCACUCCACAGAGCCAUCCAUUGCAUUCCUAACUUGGGGGCCAAGAGAAAGUAGCCUGAGGGUAAAUAUUUCCUCCCAGUCAGGUCCCUCACCUGCCAGGACAGCUUUCUUUCAUCUGGUGCUAUUUCCUCAUUCACCCAGAAAUCACUGCAACAGAGGCUGGCCUUCAGGACCCACUAAACGUGGAGUUGUGAAAUCUUCAGAGGCUCAGCACCAGUCAGUUGCCCCUCCUCCCAGCAGCUUGCUGCCCCAGACACUUAAAGCAGCUGCCCAAGCAGCCCGAGCAGCAGAAGCAGCCGCCGCCGCUUCGUCGCCAUUGCCAGGGCACAGGCUAGAAGCGUGCCCAGUUUCCGGGGCCCCAGUACCCGUCAAGAUGCGCUGUGUGCUGCUGCUGGUCCUCGCGGCCGGGGCUUUCUUUCUAGCCCCCGGAGUUUCCAGCUUGCCCACUGUUUCUGCGGAAGAGAAGUUUCUAUUUAAGUCAUGGAUGAAACAGGUCAGUGAUUACUUCUUCUUUUUUGAGCUUUUUAAAUUUUACAAGUUUCCUGCUAAGAAAUGAUGUCAAUUGUGGUAACAGAUGUAAAGAGAAGGGAAUUUCCAACUUAUCACCAGAGUCUUUCUACAAUAAUAUUUGUCAAAUAAAAUGUCAGUUAAUGAAAACUAAGCA